GACGCUGAGGCUCGCAAGCGUGGGGAGCGAACAGGAUUAGAUACCCUGGUAGUCCACGCCGUAAACGAUGAGUGCUAAGUGUUGGAGGGUUUCCGCCCUUCAGUGCUGCAGCAAACGCAUUAAGCACUCCGCCUGGGGAGUACGACCGCAAGGUUGAAACUCAAAGGAAUUGACGGGGGCCCGCACAAGCGGUGGAGCAUGUGGUUUAAUUCGAAGCAACGCGAAGAACCUUACCAGGUCUUGACAUCCUUUGACCACUCUAGAGAUAGAGCUUCCCCUUCGGGGGCAAAGUGACAGGUGGUGCAUGGUUGUCGUCAGCUCGUGUCGUGAGAUGUUGGGUUAAGUCCCGCAACGAGCGCAACCCUUAUUGUUAGUUGCCAUCAUUUAGUUGGGCACUCUAGCGAGACUGCCGGUGACAAACCGGAGGAAGGUGGGGAUGACGUCAAAUCAUCAUGCCCCUUAUGACCUGGGCUACACACGUGCUACAAUGGGAAGUACAACGAGUUGCGAAGUCGCGAGGCUAAGCUAAUCUCUUAAAGCUUCUCUCAGUUCGGAUUGUAGGCUGCAACUCGCCUACAUGAAGCCGGAAUCGCUAGUAAUCGCGGAUCAGCACGCCGCGGUGAAUACGUUCCCGGGCCUUGCACACAC
rnacentral:rRNA from 1 species